GUAAAUUGGCAACCAACGAUAUUUUACGACGUUCUUCCUCAUCUUUACCGCCCUGGUAAGGCAAAGGUCCCGGGUUCAAAUCCCGGCCGCG
rnacentral:tRNA from 1 species